GCCCCGGUAGCUCAACGGUAGAGCGUUUCAACUGCAAAGUUGUAGAAACGGCAAGUGCCUUGGAAAGGUCGCCAGUUCAACUCUGGCCCGGGGCA
rnacentral:tRNA from 1 species